rnacentral:tRNA from 1 species
GGUGAUGGCUCAAUGGUAGAGCACUUGCCUAGCAUGCGUGAGGCACUGGGUUGGAUCCCCGGCACCA